UCGUCCACAGUUACUCCCCCCAGCGAAUGUCUGGUUUUUGGCAUCAGGAGGGAGAACAUUUGACAGAGCCAGAGAGUCUCAAAGCCCAUUCCUGAUGAAAUGGUUUUGCUUCUUUUCCUCUUGUGCUGUCGUUUUAAGUCUCAGGUUUCUAUCUGGGGAGCCUCUUGAAGCUAAGAAAUUCGACCGCCAACAGUGUCACCGCUGAGCUCCAUGACCAAGUGGUGGAAUCUGAAAGUCCAUCCAUAUCAAGCUUGUCGAAUGUUUAUUUUAGAUCACGCAACAAAGGAAAAUCCUUAGCUGUUUGGGUCUUGCAUGGCUAGACCUGGGGAAGCAGGAGAUUCCAAAUGUUCUCAUCUGACAAAGGCUUCUCGUGUAGGCCAUUUUGUUCAGGUGGAAAGUCACCCACCUUCUGUCUGUUUCACUUCUUCCCCCUUGUCAUGAGAAUCAGAGGUCUUGACUGUUGCUCAGUCAGCCCGUUGUCUGCUCUGGUCUCAGGAAUGGAGAAACAGGACUGGCUAGUUUUAGCUCCUCCUCCUUUUAUCCAAUGCCUCUACCCCACCUGUGCCUUGAAAUGCAGUGGAAGGAAUGUCUUAGCUGCUUCGUGGCUUUCUCCCUUUAUCUCACCACGUUAGCACCCGUUCCGUGCUAGGCUCUGGAUGCAGAGACAAAGAAGAGAGAGAAGGCCCAAGCCCUCCAUAACCUUUCAGUUUCCUCUCCCUAGGGGGGCUUCUUCUAGCUCAAGACAGUUUUCUGAGCUCACAAAGCUCCCCCCUUGGCUCUUCCUCUGUACAUCGGGUAGCACUGUGAACUCUUCCUGCCCCUUUAUUCAAUCAGCUCAAUAUGUUAUUAACCUGAAGAGUUUGUUUUGUCCAGCAGAACUGGAGAAUUGGAUGCAUACUACUAUAUUAGAUCAUUUAUAAAAAUAUUUAAGAAGGCCAAUGUCAGCAUAGCCUCUGGGGCUCUCUUGUUGCUCUCUGUCAUAUCUUCAAGACAAUUCACUUGACAUAGGUUAGGUAUAUAGUAUGUGUUCAAUACACUUCUUGUUGGUUCAUUGAUCCCCUUUCUUUGUCAGGCUAGUUCCCACAAUCCCAGGAUGACUCAUGUUUUAAUGCCCCCAGACUUGAGAUGUUGUCAGAAGGUUUUCGUGAGGCUGAAGAAACCACGUGAACUCGUUUCUUCUAAUUCCCAUGCUUGCCUUCUCAGAGGAGUUCUGUGGUCAGGAAGAUCUGAGUUCAUUGCCCUCUGCCUCAAUCCUUUCCUAUUCUCCCAUGGAUUUUGUUGUUUCCAUUGUUCAAUGAUCUUAAAAUUUUGAUUCUAAGACUCUGCGGGUCUCAGAAUGAAAUCAGGUGAUUUGUCUUUCUGGGUCUGGAAGCCAGCCAAACUCUGCCUUGCUUUGGUCAUUCUUAGCGACGUUUGAGUGUUUGCUCAGGAGUUGCCCAACUGUAUCCUUGAUGUACAUAUUUAUAAAUGGCAGCUCUUUUCUAGCAAUGUAAGGGGUAUCAUUAAUGCUCAUUCAUGCAAAUAUUAAAUGCCAGGCCCCCUUCUAGGUGCAAAGAGCAUGGGUCUCUAUGCUUAGGGAGCUUUCAUUCUAGAAAAAGAUAGGAUAAUACAUAAGGAAACAAGUAAACACAUUUAAAAAUGAGAAUUUCAGAUUGUGUUGAGGCCUCUGAAGCACAUAAUGAAGGUGAGGGGACAGGGACCUGGGAGGAGGAGGGAUAGAGGCCAGGAGGAGGAAGAGGCUGGUUUAGACAGCAUUUCCCCGCUGAGAGGUGACAUUGGACUGGAUAUAGCAUGAUGAAGAGGUCAACACACGACACACGAAGAUCUUGAAGGAGAAAGUUCUUGGCAGAGGAGACCUGGGCAUCGGGCCCCGAGGUGGGAUCAGCUUUAUUAAGAAUUCCUGGGUGAAUUUCAACUAGACACCAGUUCCGAUCAUAAUGUUGGAUGUGAAUAUUUUGAUAUAAGGGUUUUAACAGUGGCUGUUAUUUCUGAAUCACCCAGCAAUAGGCUAGAUGCUCUGUAACCAUUAGUGUUUGUUGCUAAAACAUCAGCCAAAUGAAGACAGGGCUAUUGAUCUGUUUUGUUCAGUGAUAUAGCUCCCAUGCACAUAGAAAGUGCUCAGUAAAUAUGUGUGACCUAAACAAAUCCUUACCGCAGUCCUGUAGUGGAAGUAGCCCCUCCUCUAGUGUAGAGAUGAGGCGACUGAGGCUCAGAGACAUUUAAGGAAAGCUGGGAUUUGAGCCUGCGUCUGUCAGCCUGGAAAACCAAUGCUUUUCCUCCUGUGCUCCGCCUCCCACGCUUGCCCUAGUACAUCCGACCCACUUGCUUCCCAAGUCUAAUCUUGUUAGCCUCCCUCUGAGUCAAGACUGAGGCCGGGAGUUAAUUUGGCUGUUCUGCUCAGCCCUGUUCAUCAGGGAGUGGUCCCUCAGCAGCCCAGUCAUGAGAGGGUCCCACUGAUUUCCAAGCUAACUUGCUGCCUUUGAUAUGGGCUCAGAUCUCUUCAAACAACCAGACCUCAGACUCUGACUGCCAAAGCCUGCCCUCUAAGAGGUUUUACAUAAAUCAUGGAAUCAGAGCACAGUUCAUGCUGUCAAAAUUCAGGCAAAUGUAAAAGAACAGGGAGGAAGGGAAAGGAAAUAACACGAAUUGAAUACUUGCUAUGUGACUCAUUUGUGGCUUUGUCCUUUAUGUACAGAACCUAAUUUAACAAUUAAUAAUUAUUACAGUAGAAUGGUAAUGAGAAUUGGCUUGAGGAUUGGAUAGAUCGGGAUUAAAUUCUAGGUGCUGGCACUUAGAAGCUGUAUGAUAUUAGGAAAGUUAUUUCAUCUCCGUGUUCCUUAGUUAGUUAUAAAAUAGGUCUAAUGUUACCUAUCCUAUAGGCUUCUUGUGAAGAUUAAUAAGAUAACACUGGUAAGUGCUUCCCCAAAGCCGGCAUUCAAUGAAUGCAACUUAUAAUAAAUCACUAUAUUUUAUUGAGUCUAAGAUGCUAUAUAUUAAGUACCAUCAUUUUGCAUACCACUAAGAAAGGACGCUGCCAAUUUAACUAUCAUGCACUAUCAAUUGUAAGAUACAUUCUGAUAUGUAUGGGAAAAGGUGCAUCUUAGAAUAGAUGAAAUAUGUGUAUGUUAUAGGUUGUAUAGCCCGCUAAUGGUGACACUACAUUGACAAAUUACUGACGCCCUUAAGGCAAAUCAUGGGCUAUUGUUUGUCAAGUGCUUUAGAAACUGAGUGCCAGCAUCUUUCUUUCUAGCCUCUCUUAAUUAUUCAUGACCUUCAGAAUCAAAAAGAUUUUCUGACAUCAAGUCAAGCUGUCCCACAACAAAUUCAGCCAGACUCUGCUUGUUUAUUCCACUCUGCCGACAAUAAACAAGUGGUUGGUGUUCUCAGAACCCUCCAUUUAUCCAGUUGUUAAGUUACAACUUAAAUGCUUUUUCUUUUUCAGUCUAAUUACAGUAUAAUCAUCUAGGCCUGCAAAACACCUCACCGAUAUAAUGUGGCUGAGUUCAAGGAAUUACGAGUUUUAAAAAGUUUGCCAUUCAUGCAUUCGUUCAUUCAUCCAGUAUGUUUAUGGAGAGCAUAACAUGUGCCUGGUCUUUUUUAAAUAUCGGGAUAGGAUUUUGUGCACUAGAUAAGGUGCCUGCUCUCACGGAAUUUGGGGGAAGACAGGUAAUACCUGAGUAACAAGAAAUACUAUUUCAGAUAGCAAUGAAGUUUAUGACAAAAAUAAAGCUUGAUAAUGCCAUAGAAAGUGACUGAUGCUGAGGGUAUUGCAGGUAGAACAGCAGGGAAGUUUCUUUGGAGAUGUUACCAUUGAAUGAAUGUUACCUGAAUGAUGCUGCGGGUGGAGGACGUGGGUGGAGGUGCAGAGGCCAGAGGCGGAUCUUGCAAACCCUCCUAAGGUAGAAAAGAGCUUGGAUUAUUUACAAAACAGAGCGGAGUGGAGCCUAUAAACGCAGGGGAAGCAGGGGAAGGAAAGCAGGGUUUAGGCAGGGGCUAGAUCACGGCGGCCAUUGACAAAGCGUUUCUUCUAAAUGUAAGGAGAAACCAGUGGAGAAGGGCAGGUUAUUAAAGCAAGGAGUGAUACGAUCUAAUUUGAUUUUUUUUUUUCCUGAAUUCUGUGGUGUAGCGUAGAGAGAACACUGUGGGGUGAGGCACAGGGGCAAGGAUUGAAGCAAGAUGACCCCACAGAGAUCCCGACCAUAUUUAAAAUGGCAGGGAUAAAAAUGGAGCCAUGGGGUUGGAUCAGGCAGAUUAAGGAGGGAGAAGUCUUGGCUGUGGAUUUGGGAGGUGAAGGAAAGAGAAAAAUGAAGUCUGUUUGGCAGUGAGCCACAGAAUGAAUGGUCAUGCUGAAACUGACAGCCCUAAUGGCCGGAACCCAGCCAGAACCCACAUUGGGACUUGAACCCAAAUGCUGGGACUCCAACCCCGCCAAAACCCAGGUUGGGAUUUAAGCCACAAUUUUCAGUUAGAAUCACUCACCCUGUGUCUGGACUCACUGAGGUUCAGGUUCUUCAUGCCUCUAUGCAGAAGGAAUUCAGUGAGAGACAUUGAGAGGCAAGAAAUAGAUUUAUUAAGAUAGGAUGCUUGUGAGAGAUGCAAGCGGGCAGGCAGGGAGGCUCUGCCCCGAGGAUGGGUGGGCUACAGUUUUAUCAUCCAGGGGGAGCGGGGGUGGGAAAAGCCUGCCUCUUCUUCUCUGGGAGUAGUGGCUCCUCCUUGGUAUCUGGUAUUCAAAUCAGUGGAACAGUGGUCCUUAAACUCCUGCUUUGGGUCUGGACCUGAACGCAGGCCUCAUCCCAUCGCCGACCCAAUGACCUGAGGCCAGUCUCACACCUCCACUAGUCUAGCAAGCCUGCCUUGUUCUGAUGGCUUUCUUGAGCAAUUAUUAACUUACAGUGCUCUCCAACGUCCCUCUCUAUCUGUGGUCCCUUUUAUUGGGACUUCUCCGACUACCUGUGCCUACUCCAUCCCAACAAUGCCUCUUGUUGAGGUAGAGAAGAGCCUACAGGAGCCCAUCAGGGAGACUUCUGAGGUUCAGGUCACCACCCAGAUAGUUGAACAAGUCCUAGUCUGGGUUUUGUCUGGAUUUGAGUCCCAGAACGUGAGUUCAAGUCCCAGUCUGGGUUCUAUCAGUCAUCCAGGUGGGGUGCACUGAGGAGUUCAGAGGAAGCAUCACGGUUAAAGGUGCACCUGUAGGAGAUUAUUUAAAACGCAGGUGAGGUUUUCUAGGAGAGACUGGAGAGAGAGUGAGGAAGACGUGUAGGGGAAGAGGAGAAGGAGCCAACACAAAAUGUUCAGGAUGCUGGUGUUGCUAUGAGAAAAUGGUAAGCUCCGCAGAUCAAUGAAGAGGAGAAAACCAAACAAAGGGUUAAAAACAUCGAGACUGCAGGGUGGUGGACCCCCUGGGGGUUGAGAGUCCAGUAGAGAGAGAGCGUUUUCCUGGGAACAGUAUUGAUGUUGAUCAAAGGAGCAGCUGCCUUUCAUUUUACAGACACUGAAACACAGAAAGGUUAAGUGUCUUGACCAAGGUGACAGAGCUACGAAGUGACAGAGCUGGGAUUUGAACUCAAAGAUCUUGGCUCCACCAUCUGGAUGCUUAACCACCCUAUGACACGGCCUCUAAAUGGGAUCCUAAAAAGAGUUUAAAAUAAAUGAAGGGGGAAAAAAAGAAUCUUUUGUAUCCAAGGAACAGCAGCGGGAUGGAUGCUGAAGGACGGGCUUGGUGACAAGACAUUUUGGUCAGCUUCACCUCUGGAGUGACAGUGCCAUUUUUAAAGAGGCCAGAAACGGUCAUAAUGAAAAUAAAUGUUGUUCGAAUGGGGGAGUAAGCAGAGUUUAUUUUCUCCCUUUCCUUUUUCAGGUAGUUCUGAGCAAUAAAGGCCCCCGACCACUAUUCAUAUCUGAUUAAACAAAAGUAAGAAAAAAAAAAAGGCAGAGAAAAGACCUCAGGAGCAGGUGGCAAGCUUAAUCUUUGGUAUUUAGAAUGAUGAAGAGAAGCAAUAUGUGAAAUCCACUUAAAAUAUGAUUUCAUGUUCUAAUAUACAUUUUGAAUUUAUGGGGAACUGACUUCUGCCAUUUAUUCAG
rnacentral:lncRNA from 1 species